UAAGCGGAGGAAAAGAAACCACCAGGGAUUGCCUCAGUAGCGGCGAGUGAAGCGGCAAAAGCUCAAAUUUGAAAUCUGGCGUCUUUGGCGUCCGAGUUGUAAUUUGAAGAAGGUAUCUUUGGGCCCGGCUCUUGUCUAUGUUCCUUGGAACAGGACGUCACAGAGGGUGAGAAUCCCGUGCGAUGAGAUGACCCGGGUCUGUGUAAAGUUCCUUCGACGAGUCGAGUUGUUUGGGAAUGCAGCUCUAAGUGGGUGGUAAAUUCCAUCUAAAGCUAAAUAUUGGCGAGAGACCGAUAGCGAACAAGUACAGUGAUGGAAAGAUGAAAAGAACUUUGAAAAGAGAGUGAAAAAGUACGUGAAAUUGUUGAAAGGGAAGGGCUUGAGAUCAGACUUGGUAUUUUGCAUGCUGCUCUCUCGGGGGCGGCCGCUGCGGUUUACCGGGCCAGCAUCGGUUUGGAGCGGCAGGAUAAUGGCGGAGGAAUGUGGCACGGCUUCUGCUGUGUGUUAUAGCCUCUGACGAUACUGCCAGCCUAGACCGAGGACUGCGGUUUUUACCUAGGAUGUUGGCAUAAUGAUCUUAAGUCGCCCGUCUUGAAACACGGACC
rnacentral:rRNA from 1 species